rnacentral:rRNA from 1 species
GACGAACGCUGGCGGCGUGCUUAACACAUGCAAGUCGAACGAGUGGCGAACGGGUGAGUAAUACGUGAGUAACCUGCCCUCUUUUUGGGAUAAGCCUUGGGAACGGGGUCUAAUACCGGAUAAAGGGGGAUGGGCUCGGGGCCUAUGGGCUUGUUGGUGGGGUGAUGGCCUACCAAGGCGGUGACGGGUAGCCGGCCUGAGAGGGUGAACGGGAACAUUGGCACGGGGAAACGGCCCAGGGUACGACGCGGGGGAGCAGUGGGGGAUAUUGCACAAUGGGUGAAAGCCCGAUGCAGCGUCGCCGCGGGAGGGAUGAAGGCUUUCGGGUUGUAAAACUCGUGCGCUAGCGAACGGGUAGGUGGAGAAGAAGCGCCGGCUAACUACGUGCCAGCCGCCGCGGUAAUUC